rnacentral:rRNA from 1 species
GACAAACGCUGGCGGGGUGCGUGAGACAUGCAAGUCGAACGGGGUUUCACGGGGCUUGCUCUGUGAAACCUAGUGGCGGACGGCUGAGUAACGCGUAGGUGACCUGCCCGGAAGUGGGGAAUAACUGCCCGAAAGGGUGGCUAAUACCGCAAGUGGUCGUCGAAUCGGUUCGCCGACUAAAGGAGAAAUCCGCUUCCGGAGGGGCCUGCGUCCGAUUAGCUAGUUGGUGAGGUAACGGCCCACCAAGGCGACGAUCGGUAGCUGGUCUGAGAGGAUGAUCAGCCAGACUGGGACUGAGAACGGCCCAGACUCCUACGGGAGGCAGCAGUCGGGAAUUUUGCCCAAUGGACGAAAGUCUGAGGCAGCAACUCCGCGUGAGGGAUGAAGGCCUUCGGGUUGUAAACCUCUUUUCUCAGGGAAGAUACAAGACGGUACCUGAGGAAUAAGCCACGGCUAACUACGUGC